rnacentral:rRNA from 1 species
AGAGGGUGCGAGCGUUAAUCGGAAUUACUGGGCGUAAAGAGCGCGUAGGCGGCGUUGUAAGUCGGAUGUGAAAGCCCUGGGCUUAACCUGGGAACGGCAUACGAUACUGCGAUGCUAGAGUAUGGUAGAGGACAGCGGAAUUCCCGGUGUAGCGGUGAAAUGCGUAGAGAUCGGGAGGAACAUCAGUGGCGAAGGCGGCUGUCUGGACCAAUACUGACGCUGAGGCGCGAAAGCGUGGGGUAGCAAACAGGAUUAGAUACCCUGGUAGUCCACGCCCGUAAACGAUGUCAACUAGACGUUGGGGGAGUUAAUCUCUUAGUGUCGCAGCUAACGCGCUAAGUUGACCCGCCUGGGGAGUACGGCCGCAAGGCUAA